rnacentral:rRNA from 1 species
GACGAACGCUGGCGGCGUGCUUAACACAUGCAAGUCGAACGAUGAAGCUGGAGCUUGCUCCGGUGGAUUAGUGGCGAACGGGUGAGUAACACGUGAGCAAUCUGCCCUUGACUCUGGGAUAACUGCGGGAAGCUGUAGCUAAUACCGGAUACGAUACCUUCGGGCAUCCGAUGGGUGUGGAAAGAAUUUCGGUCAAGGAUGAGCUCGCGGCCUAUCAGCUAGUUGGUGAGGUAACGGCCCACCAAGGCGACGGCGGGUAGCCGGCCUGAGAGGGUAACCGGCCACACUGGGACUGAGACACGGACCAGACUCCUACGGGAGGCAGCAGUGGGGAAUAUUGCACAAUGGGCGCAAGGCUGAUGCAGCAACGCCGCGUGAGGGAUGACGGCCUUCGGGUUGUAAACCUCUUUUAGCAGGGAAGAAGCGAAAGUGACGGUACCUGCAGAAAAAGCACCGGCUAACUACGUGCCAGCCGCCGCAGUAA